rnacentral:tRNA from 1 species
AAAAAGAUAAGCUAAAUUUAAGCUAAUGGGUUCAUACCCCAUAUAUAAAGAUUAUUCUUUUCUUUUUA